GGCUUGCUGUUGUUGCAGAGGUCUCAGGUUUGGUUUCUAACACUCAGCAUGUCUAUAACUCUAGUUUCAGGGUAUCCUUCACACAUACACACAGUUAAACAUACAUGUGCAGGCAGACACACAGAUUAAAUAAAUAAAAAUUUUCAAAAAACAUUUUUGGAAUAAUUCCUUAGCAUUGUAAAUUUAUUGGCAUGAAUCAACUGCAAACAAAAAUGUCUUUUUAAAAGUCCUAGAGAUAGGACAAAAUAUAGUGUGUAGAACCUGAGGUGAGUUUUUGUUGUGUGUUGUGUCUAGUGCUUCUAAAGGGAACAUGCUGACAUUUGCCUAUUUCUUGCUACCAUUUUGUGUGGUGUCUUAGUCAGGGUUUCUAUUCCUGCACAAACAUCAUGACCAAAAAAUAAGUUGGGGAGGAAAGGGUUUAUUCAGCUUACACUUUCCACAUUGCUGUUCAUCACCAAGGAAAGUCAGGACUGGAACUCAAGCAGGUCAGGAAGCAGGAGCUGAUGCAGAGGCCAUGGAGGGAUGUUCUUUACUGGCUUGCUUCUCCUGGCUUGCUCAGCCUGCUCUCUUAUAGAACCAAGACUACCAGCCCAGAGAUGGUCCCACCCACAAGGGGACCUUUCCCCCUUGAUCACUAAUUGAGAAAAUGCCUUACAGUUGGAUCUCAUGGAGGCAUUUGCUCAACUGAAGCUCCUUUCUCUGUGAUAACUCCAGCUGUGUCAAGUUGACACACAGAACCAGCCAGUACAUGUGGUUUCUGUUUGUUUUUGUGGUACUUGAAAUUGAAUUCAGGGCCUUGUACAUGUUAGGAAAGCAUUCUGCUGCUAAGCUGCCAUCACUGUUAACAAAGCUGAUAGAUAACGUGACCUCAGUGACCUAGAAAAGAUUCUGGGCCUAAGCCUGUAACAAAGACAGAGGCUUCAGCUAGGCAUGGUGGUUGAGAUGAGAAGAUAGCCCCUAGUUCAAGGCCAGCCUGGCUACAGUAUGAGACCUUGUCUUACAGUCCCUCAGUGACUUGGUAGAGGUGGGAUGAGAAGACCUGCUUCUGUCUGUUUUCUCUGUGGAUCUGAGCAUAGCUAUCACGCCAGCCAGCUAGAGAACUCCUCCCUAAGAUUUCCUUUUGUUUCUCCACUGCUCAAGAUUCCUAUACAAUCUAAAUUCCACAGUGCUAAAGGAACCCAUGGAAACUGAAUGAAUUGGGCAAAAUUCAGUCACACAUGAUGAUGCAUAUGUCUGUAAUCCAGUACUGAGAGAACAGAGGCACAUUCAAGACCAGCUUGGUUCAUAUAGCUAGUGCAGGUUAGCCUAGGCUGUAUAGUGAGACCUGGACUCAAAAUAAAACAAAAUCGUACAAAGUUCAAGGAAGCCUAGUAGCUUGAGAGACAGAAAAUAACAUUCAACAGCCAAAAUGAAUAGCUCCUGAGGGAAAUUUUAAUGUAAGAAAUAGGAAGAAAAUUAAAAAUAGAAGAUAUUUGAAGGGGCAUAGCCCUAUGCUUUUUCAGUCUUGACAUUUAAUUAAAUUGAACAGUAAAGUAGAUAACCGCUAAAAUUCAAACUAAAGAUCAAUUGGGAAACUUUCUCAUGCAUGGUACAAAACUAUAACUAAAAGAAACCCAUUACUGAAAGAUGAAAGAGCCAUUAAAGGAAGAAGCAGGGCAGUGGUGUGAGACAGGAGCCCCGGGAUCAUGGAGGGGAAGCAAUAAAGCUCAAAGGAAAAGUCACUGGGACCUUAAGGACAGUGUCAAACCAGGUACAGGUCUGCCUCAUGAGCCAUGGUCUCUAAAGACUGGGAACUUGGAUCUGAGGUGAUGAGGAUGGCUUGGAGCUAGAGAAUGAUCACACUGGAGGGCAGGGGUGUGCUGAAUGUGACUGCUGGGAGAUUGGUUCUAUGUAGUUACAUGUUUUUAGAGAUAAGUGGUGUGUUAGGUUACAGAAACCAAACUGCUCUUUCUGUCCUAAUAUGGUUGAGUAUGAAGUGUCUCACAUAAUAACUUCUAUGUUUAAAAGUUUGGUCUCUAACUGUCGAGGAAUGAUUAUGUCAUGAGAGUACCAGCUUCAUCAGUAAGAUUAUCCUGGCUAGGGUUUUUAGUGAUGGCAAAAUAAGCUGACAUUUUGUUUUUGAGACAGGGUCUGUGUCCUUGGCUGAUUUGGGGACUUGAUAUGUAUUGUACACCAGGGCUAGUUUCCAACUUAGAGACAUUUACCUGCCCCUGCCCCUGCCCACACCCACUGAGGGCUGGGAUUAAAGGCUUAGGAUACUGUGCCCAGUAAAAUAAGAUGGCUUUCCUUGUUUUAAGCAAAAAACAACGGAAUUUGAGAGGCUGUGAUAGAGAACUCAUAAUUGCCCAGAUACCUCAGAAAAAAAAUCAGGCUUAGGAAAAGUAGAAUUUGACUAACAAAACUUUAGUUAUCACAGAAGUUUAUACUAUCAUCAGAAGAAUGAAUCCAAUUGGAGAGUUUAUAUAGACUGACCCCCAGCAAUAGAAAACAUUGAGUCCUAAAAGGAAAAGUGCACAGGGCCUGACCCCCGGCAGCCGCACAGCAGGCAGGCAGGAGGUGGCUUCAGAGGGCCGUCUGUUUCAGCACCAUUUUCAGCACUUGGAAAGUUAACUGAGUAAAAGAAACCUAGAGAAAUAUUAGAAAUUAACUUAAAGGCUUAUUGAAAAGCAUAAUAACACAGUAAAUCAAACACUUUAGAAUGUAACCAAAGAAUUUUUUUUUAAGAUUUAUUUAUUUAUUAUAUACAAGUACACUGUAGUUGUCUUCAGACACACCAGAAGAGGGCAUCAGAUCUCAAUUCAGAUGGUUGUGAGCCACCAUGUGGUUGCUGGGAUUUGAACUCGGGACCUCUGGAAGAGCAGUCAGUGCUCUUAACCGCUAAGCCAUCUCUCCAGCCCCCAGGAUUUUUUUUUUUUUAAAGAAAGAAAUUUACUUUAAGUCUUUCUUGACUUAAGCAUCCUGUGCAAAGAGAUAAGAAAAGUUCUCAAUAUUUAAUAAAAGUACAAGUAUUCCUUUGUAAAAAUAUUUGUGUGCAUGUGCAUAUAUGUAUGUGUACCAGGUGUGUGCCUGGUACCCUCAUAAGACAGGAGAAUAUUGGAUCCUCUGGAAUAGGUGGUUGUAAGCUUCUGUUGUGGGUGCAUGGAACAGAACUCAGAUCUGCUUCAAGAACAGCAAGUUCUUUUAGCCACUGCACAAUCUCUUCAGACCCAGUAUUCCUUUUGUAAAACUUUCUUUUGGAAGU
rnacentral:lncRNA from 1 species